AGCUGAGUUCAAAGAUCCCUUCGGGGUGAUUUGUUGGACGCUAGCGGCGGAUGGGUGAGUAACACGUGGGCAAUCUGCCCUAAAGACUGGGAUACCACUUGGAAACAGGUGCUAAUACCGGAUAACAACAUGAAUCGCAUGAUUCAAGUUUGAAAGGCGGCGUAAGCUGUCACUUUAGGAUGAGCCCGCGGCGCAUUAGCUAGUUGGUGGGGUAAAGGCCUACCAAGGAUUGUGAUGCGUAGCCGAGUUGAGAGACUGAUCGGCCACAUUGGGACUGAGACACGG
rnacentral:rRNA from 1 species